rnacentral:rRNA from 1 species
UACGGUAGGGUGCAAGCGUUGUCCGGAAUUAUUGGCGUAAGAGCUCGUAGGCGGUCAGUCGCGUCUGCCUGUGGAAAAUCGGGGCUUAACUCCGGGCCUGCGGUGGGUACGGGCUGACUAGAGGUGCGGUAGGGGAGGACUGGAAUUCCGAUGGUGUAGGCGUGAAAUGCGACAGAUAUCAGGAGGAACGAGCCGGCUGGCGAAGGCGGCUCGCUGGACCGCAACUGACGCUGAGGAACGAAAGCUAGGGGAGCAAACAGG